UCAUCAACCAGAGCAGAUAUAAUGAAUCUGAUGGUGGAUGAACUUGGUCAUCAGUCUGUGGAGGUGACCAGAGAAGUUUUCAUGCACAUGAACAGAACUGAUCUGGUGCAGAAGUUACCAGAGAGCAGCUCAGCAUCCAGAGAGAAACACUCUGUGGAUGAACAUGGAGCUGCACUGUUGAAGAGAGU